rnacentral:rRNA from 1 species
AUUGAACGCUGGCGGCAGGCCUAACACAUGCAAGUCGAACGGUAACAGGAAGAAGCUUGCUUCUUUGCUGACGAGUGGCGGACGGGUGAGUAAUGUCUGGGAAACUGCCUGAUGGAGGGGGAUAACUACUGGAAACGGUAGCUAAUACCGCAUAACGUCGCAAGACCAAAAAGGGGGACCUUCGGGCCUCUUGCCAUCGGAUGUGCCCAGAUGGGAUUAGCUAGUAGGUGGGGUAACGGCUCACCUAGGCGACGAUCCCUAGCUGGUCUGAGAGGAUGACCAGCCACCCUGGAACUGAGACACGGUCCAGACUCCUACGGGAGGCAGCAGUGGGGAAUAUUGCACAAUGGGCGCAAGCCUUAUGCAGCCAUGCCGCGUGUAUGAAGAAGGCCUUCGGGUUUUAAAGUACUUUCAGCGGGGAGGAAGGGAGUAAAGUUAAUACCUUUGCUCAUUGACGUUACCCGCAGAAGAAGCACCGGCUAACUCCGUG